CCUAUUUGGUGCUGCUUGAAAGGCCUUUUGUAAUGCAAAAAGUAGAAGGGAAACCUUAUCAUCAAACAUGGUACCCCCUCCUUCCAGCAAACCCAAAAGGUUGUUUGUCACAUCUGGGGGAGCAUGUGUAUCAAAUUUGAGAUAGCCUGAUGAAACUAAAGCACCCAAGAGGUUAAUAAUUCCAAGCACAAUUUCAUCACUUUUAUCAACAUUGUAUGCAUUAUUCCGAGCAUUUUCAGCACUUAUUGAAAAGCUUAUACCACCCAGGUUUUUUAGAAAUGCAUUCUCUGGGAUAGACUGCAUCUUUUCAAUAGUAGACCUAGUGGAAAUUGUGGUGCCUGCACCAUUCAAGGACUCGGGUACAGAUUCCAUUGCAUUCAAAGUUGUCUCUCUUUCUUUUGUAAAUCUUGUUUCACCAACUUCACUACUUCCAACGGGACAAUGUGCUUCAGUAUCCAGUUCAGUUUCCUGGGCUAAUGCAGCAGUGGCACUAUGGUCUACAGAGGAUAUAUCAUCACAAUCUCCAAUCUUAAUUUCGCGCUGCAAUAGGACAAGAAGUGUUUCUAUACCACCACAAGACAAAAAUGCAUCAGCAAAGGUUUGAGCCCUGGACAUAUUUGGCUGUACAACCAACCUGUACAUGAGAUGUAGCACCCUGGCAACCUGAAAUAACAAAAAGUAUUAUAUUAGACUCAAAUAGAAAGUAAGGCACAUCCAUUGGGAAGUAUCAGUUAAGAAAAUGAAGUAUCAAGAAAGUUCCCUUUUAAGAAUAAGAUUUUACUGCCCCAGUAUACAUAAGGUAGUAAAUUGCUACUGUGUGGAGAAGGGAGCGAAGACAACAAAACACCUCUUGUUCAAUAGACAGCCAUUAGUGGGAAGUGUUCCUGAACAUCACUGUGGAAAAUGUCAUGCCCUUACUCCAAGAGUUAGUUUGUUGUUGGAGUGGAUGCAGUUAGAGAAGACUAAGAAUAGAAGGGUAUUUGGAGGAUAAUAUCAGCCUCAUUUUAUUUUUGAGGAAUGAGAAAAAACAGAGGUGCUUUGAAGGAAAGACUACAGCCGAACAUAGUAAAGUGCAAAAGGUCUUAUACUGUAUCGAAAAGCACAAAAUGUCUUAGUUUGUUAGCUAUGUGGUGAAUUUACUGCAUAUGCAUGAUGAAAAGAACAUGAGGGUUCCCAAAAAACAGCCUCUCUACUUCUAUGAGGUAGUGGUAAGGUCUGCGUACAUUCUACCCUCCCCAGACCCCACUUGUGGGAUUUCACUGGGUAUGUUGUUGUUGUUGUUGUUGUUGUNUCAUCAAACAUGGUACCCCCUCCUUCCAGCAAACCCAAAAGGUUGUUUGUCACAUCUGGGGGAGCAUGUGUAUCAAAUUUGAGAUAGCCUGAUGAAACUAAAGCACCCAAGAGGUUAAUAAUUCCAAGCACAAUUUCAUCACUUUUAUCAACAUUGUAUGCAUUAUUCCGAGCAUUUUCAGCACUUAUUGAAAAGCUUAUACCACCCAGGUUUUUUAGAAAUGCAUUCUCUGGGAUAGACUGCAUCUUUUCAAUAGUAGACCUAGUGGAAAUUGUGG
rnacentral:lncRNA from 1 species